AGGACGAACGCUGGCGGCGUGCUUAACACAUGCAAGUGGAGCGACGAACCAGGGCUUGCCCUGGGGCAGAGCCGCGAACGGGUGAGUAACACGUGGGUUACCUGCCUCGAUGACCGGGACAACCCGAGGAAACUCGGGCUAAUACCGGAUGUGCCCGCAAGGGGAAAGGAAGCUUCGGCCUCCGCAUUGAGAUGGGCCCGCGGCCCAUUAGCUUGUUGGUGAGGUAACGGCUCACCAAGGCUUCGAUGGGUA
rnacentral:rRNA from 1 species